GUACACGCUGUGACUAGCAUAUCAAUAAGCGGAGGAAAAGAAACUAACAAGGAUUCCCUUAGUAACGGCGAGUGAAGCGGGAAGAGCUCAAAUUUGAAAUCUUAAAGGUUUUCCCUUGACGAAUUGUAGUUUAAAGAAGUGUUUUCUGUUGAAGUUUUGGUAAAAGUUCUUUGGAAUAGGACAUCAUAGAGGGUGAGAAUCCCGUAUUUGACCAUUUACUUUUCAGCUUUGUGAUACACUUUCAAAGAGUCGGAUUGUUUGGGAAUGCAGUCCAAAAUGGGUGGUAAAUUUCAUCUAAAGCUAAAUAUUGGCGAGAGACCGAUAGCGAACAAGUACCGUGAGGGAAAGAUGAAAAGAACUUUGAAAAGAGAGUUAAACAGUACGUGAAAUUGUCAAAAGGGAAGCGUUUGACACCAGUGUUGUUUUCUCGAAAAUCAAUUAAAAAUGGCUCGAUUUUGUAUUGCUGAGACCUUAAAAGCUCACUGUACAUUUUUCGUGUCUUUUUUAAUGCACUUUUCGUUUAACAAGUCAACAUCAGUUUCUUUUGUUGUAAAAGGGUCAUUGGAAGGUGGCUUUCUUUUCGGAGAAAGUGUUUAUAGCCUUUGGCCUCUGCAAUCGGAGAGACUGAGGUCUGCAGCGUAGACUCUUCGGGGUUAGAUACAUUUGUGCUAAGUUAUAGCUUUUUAUAGACAACUUGUUGACUAUAAUUAGUCUUGUAGCUUACUCGCUUAUGCUAUUUUACCUACGCUUAGGAUGUUGAGCGCAUGUCUCUCUCU
rnacentral:rRNA from 1 species